rnacentral:rRNA from 1 species
UGGGGGAUAUUGCACAAUGGGCGAAAGCCUGAUGCAGCGACGCCGCGUGGGGGAUGAAGGCCUUCGGGUUGUAAACUUCUUUUGCUCUGAACAAGGCAUGCCUUUGGGGUGUGUUGAGAGUAGGGGUUGAUUAGCGCCGGCUAACUACGUGCCAGCAGCCGCGGUAAUACGUAGGGCGCGAGCGUUGUCCGGAAUUAUUGGGCGUAAAGGGCUUGUAGGUGGCUGGUUGCGUCUGUCGUGAAAGCUCAUGGCUUAACUGUGGGUUUGCGGUGGGUACGGGCUGGCUUGAGUGCAGUAGGGGAGGCUGGAAUUCCUGGUGUAGCGGUGGAAUGCGCAGAUAUCAGGAGGAAUACCGGUGGCGAAGGCGGGUCUCUGGGCUGUUACUGACGCUGAGGAGCGAAAGCGUGGGGAGCGAACAGG